UUCAGGGGCUUUAUUAGUUGUGUGUGCAUGGAUGUGUGUGUCAUAUACACACAAAUGUAUAUAUACACACAGUUAU
rnacentral:miRNA from 1 species